rnacentral:rRNA from 1 species
GAUGAACGCUAGCGGCAGGCCUAAUACAUGCAAGUCGAACGGUGUAGCAAUACACAGUGGCGCACGGGUGCGUAACACGUAUGCAACCUACCUUACAUUGGGGGAUAGCCUUUCGAAAGGGAGAUUAAUACCGCAUAAGACAGUAACUAGGCAUCUAGUAGCUGUUAAAGAUUUAUCGAUGUAAGCUGGGCAUGCGUCCAAUUAGUUAGUUGUGGAGGUAAUGGCUCACCAAGACGAUGAUUGGUAGGGGAACUGAGAGGUCAAUCCCCCACACUGGCACUGAGAUACGGGCCAGACGCCUACGGGAGGCAGCAGUAGGGAAUAUUGGGCAAUGGGCGCAAGCCUGACCCAGCCAUGCCGCGCGCAGGAAGAAGGCGUUAUGCGUUGUAAACUGCUUUUAUACAGGAAGAAACGACCCUUGCGAGGGGCAUUGACGGUACUGUAUGAAUAAGCACCGGCUAACUCCGUGCCAGCAGCCGCGGUAAAAC